rnacentral:rRNA from 1 species
AUGAACGCUAGCUACAGGCUUAACACAUGCAAGUCGAGGGGCAGCAUGGUCUUAGCUUGCUAAGGCCGAUGGCGACCGGCGCACGGGUGAGUAACACGUAUCCAACCUGCCGUCUACUCUUGGACAGCCUUCUGAAAGGAAGAUUAAUACAAGAUGGCAUCAUGAGUCCGCAUGUUCACAUGAUUAAAGGUAUUCCGGUAGACGAUGGGGAUGCGUUCCAUUAGAUAGUAGGCGGGGUAACGGCCCACCUAGUCUUCGAUGGAUAGGGGUUCUGAGAGGAAGGUCCCCCACAUUGGAACUGAGACACGGUCCAAACUCCUACGGGAGGCAGCAGUGAGGAAUAUUGGUCAAUGGGCGAGAGCCUGAACCAGCCAAGUAGCGUGAAGGAUGACUGCCCUAUGGGUUGUAAACUUCUUUUAUAAAGGAAUAAAGUCGGGUAUGGAUACCCGUUUGCAUGUACUUUAUGAAUAAGGAUCGGCUAACUCCGUGCCAGCAGCCGCGGUAAUACGGAGGAUCCGAGCGUUAUCCGGAUUUAUUGGGUUUAAAGGGAGCGUAGAUGGAUGUUUAAGUCAGGUGUGAAAGUUUGCGGCUCAACCGUAAAAUGGCAGUUGAUACUGGAUAUCUUGAGUGCAGUUGAGGCAGGCGGAAUUCGUGGUGUAGCGGUGAAAUGCUUAGAUAUCACGAAGAACUCCGAUUGCGAAGGCAGCCUGCUAAGCUGCAACUGACAUUGAGGCUCGAAAGUGUGGGUAUCAAACAGGAUUAGAUACCCUGGUAGUCCACACGGUAAACGAUGAAUACUCGCUGUUUGCGAUAUACUGCAAGCGGCCAAGCGAAAGCGUUAAGUAUUCCACCUGGGGAGUACGCCGGCAACGGUGAAACUCAAAGGAAUUGACGGGGGCCCGCACAAGCGGAGGAACAUGUGGUUUAAUUCGAUGAUACGCGAGGAACCUUACCCGGGCUUAAAUUGCAGAUGAAUUACGGUGAAAGCCGUAAGCCGCAAGGCAUCUGUGAAGGUGCUGCAUGGUUGUCGUCAGCUCGUGCCGUGAGGUGUCGGCUUAAGUGCCAUAACGAGCGCAACCCUUGUUGUCAGUUACUAACAGGUUCCGCUGAGGACUCUGACAAGACUGCCAUCGUAAGAUGUGAGGAAGGUGGGGAUGACGUCAAAUCAGCACGGCCCUUACGUCCGGGGCUACACACGUGUUACAAUGGGGGGUACAGAGGGCCGCUACCACGCGAGUGGAUGCCAAUCCCAAAAACCUCUCUCAGUUCGGACUGGAGUCUGCAACCCGACUCCACGAAGCUGGAUUCGCUAGUAAUCGCGCAUCAGCCACGGCGCGGUGAAUACGUUCCCGGGCCUUGUACACACCGCCCGUCAAGCCAUGGGAGCCGGGGGUACCUGAAGUGCGUAACCGCGAGGAGCGCCCUAGGGUAAAACUGGUGACUGGGGCU